AGUGCAUUUCCAGGUCUCUAUCAGCAGAAUUGGAAUUACUUCAUCAUUUUCAGCAUUUCUUUUUCCUUUCCAGCAUUUAUUGCAGAAAAAAUAUGAGGCUUGCUGGUAGUAUUCCCAGGUGACAAAUGUGCACCCAACACCCUACAGAAAAGAAGAACCAUAAAAUAAUUAAUUAUUCCAUUGUAACUCCUGCCUGGAAAACAUCUGGAUGCUUGGAUGUUUUCACACCACUCUGACACAUGGAUGGAAGGUUAGAAGACAACAAAGGAAUGGGCUGGGAAGGACUCCAAAAGCAGAAUCAGAGAUUAUAUCAUUCCUUGGAAAUGGAGAAAAGGAUCAAAAAAGCUGAAUAAAAGGCAAACAUGGAGGAACAGAGUUUGGAGCAAUACCCUGACUUACAUUCAGUACUGUUAAUGGCUCCAGCAUCUUGAAACAAACCAAUUUUGGAUUUUCAGCCGCUGUCCAAGAUGACGUGAACUCCAGGCUAUUGACUUUCCUCUACCUUCAAUGGAAAUUGUCAUGGAGAAUUAAGUUUUUGACAAAUCUACAGCCUAUGUGCAGGGCUUCUUCCUGGGUGUAACAAUAAGGAAUUUGGAAACUGUCUCUAGUUUUGGCCUGGAGUCACACUGCAGCUUGAGACCCUGUCAUUUCCAUCAAGCUUGAAAAUAUACAUCUUAAUAAACUGCAAUACUUCUUAAA
rnacentral:lncRNA from 1 species